ACACCUUUCCAGCCACUCUGCCCCAGCCUGAGGCACUGCCUGAGGUUUUGUGAUCCAGGGGCUGGAUUUGACACUUCACCUUCUUGAACCUCAUACAACUGUCCUCAGACCAUCAACCCAGCCUGUCCAGAUCCAUGUGCAGAGCCUUCCUGCCAUCCAGAAGCAACGCUCCUGCCCAGCUUGGCAUUGUCUGUGGACUGACUGAGGGUGCAUUUGAUCCCUUCAUCCAGACCACUGAUAGAGACAUGAAACAGAAGUGCCCCCCAACACAGAGUUCUGAGGAACACUGCUGGUGACCAGCUGCCAGUUGGACUGGACUCCCUUCACCACCUCCCUGGACCUGGCCAUCCAGACAGUUCUAACCCAGCAGAGAGUGCACCUGUCCAAACCAUGAGCAGCCAGUGGCUCCAGGAGGUGCUGUGGGAAAUGGUGUCAAAGGCUUCACUGAAGUCCAGGUAGAAAACAUCCAAAGCACUCCCCUCAUCCACUCAGUGGGUCACCGUGUCACAGAAGGGGAUCAGCUCAAACAGGACCUGCCUUUCACAAACCAAUGUUGGCUGGGCCUGGCUCCCUGGUUGUCCUGGACAUGCCUUGUGAUGGCACUCAGGAGGAUCUGCUUCAUGCAUUAAGAACAUUCAAACCAAAAGCCUCCCCUACAAAAUCUGAACCUCUUGUGCACUCCUGGCUUCCUUGCUCUCAGCACAAGGUAUUUGAGGAGCUAUUGCCUUGGACAUCAAGGUAAAAAUCAUACUUUAGGGAACUCAUUUCCUGAGUGGAGAGCACAGCUUCACUACAGGCUUUUAAAUUGUGAUGAGCUACUAUUCCCACAGGAAAACACACAAGUGCUUGAGUGCUCAGGCUGCCCAGACAAUUCAAAUUCAAGUUCUUUGUAAUUUGGUACCAGGCACAGAGAGCUGUGCAGUUCCCAGCAUUCCUUUACUUCCCCAAAUGCUUCAUCACCCAAAUAUCUACAGCCACUUAUUUCAAAACCUCUGUAAUUCUCUCAACAAGCUUCAGAAUACAGGUAUCUUUGAAGUCCUUCCUCCUUGAGUUACGUGACUUUGCACAACCAUCAGCUUUCAAACACAAUUGUGUCAAAUAAGACCAAAACAUUUACAAGCACAGGUUGGAAUAAGGAGCUCUGUUGGACAGUGAAUUACUUUGAUGUUUCUCCCCCAAGACGAAACCCAACUUCCACUUACUCUAGGGCAAACUCAAAAGGUUUUAUUUUAAUUUUUUUUUUUUAGCAAAUUCUAUCACGUAAAUGUUAACAAAAAACAUCUGUACAAUUGCCAUGAUACACUCAAAAGUGAAACAAAUAAGAUAUAAAUACAGAUAUGGAUGUAACAUGACAAAAGCGGAAAAAAUAGAAAAAAAUACAUGCGCAUGAACACGGUGCCAACAAAGUCAUUUCUCAUGGCUGGCAUUUUUCAGAGCAUUUUUUACUUCCCAUUUAAAACAUUGUUAGCAACGUCCUGCUGUGUACUACAAAGGUCUAUUUUUCUGUCCCUUAAUAUGUAAUAUUAUGCUUGAUAAAUAAAGGGGUGGGGAGAAAAGGUUCUGAUGACAAAGAUGCAAGUUACAUUACUUAUACAGGUUAUUGGUAAGCUAGUAAUAAGCAAUUAAAAAGACAGUCUUGUAUUGUAUUGUAAUCCAGGCAAGCACACAUAGUGUACCUUAAGAAAGCCACAUGCCUCGGUAUUUCUGAACUAUAUGAGAACUACAGUACGUAGACCUGUGGGGCAGAUGGAGCCGGGAUUUGCCCAUGCCCACGGAGCACUGGUGCAGCCAAUGGCAGAAAAAACAUCCACAUCUGAGAUUUCGGCAACCUUGCAGCCAAGAGCUGCUGUCUGCUGAGAGUUUUCUCCCAUUCAGAUUUUUAAAGCAUGGUGGGCAA